ensembl:lncRNA
GCAACUUGUUUGAGUCUGGCCACUUGCUCACCAUCUGGAACUACUUCAUAUUCUUAUUACCAAAAAAAAAAUGAAAGAAAGAAAGAAACGAAAAAGAGAAAAAGGAUGAGUAACGCUGCUGGGUUGCCUUUUCUUUUGUACGUUUUGCUGGGUGCUUAACCCACCCAGGGCUCCCUCCCACCUGGAGGCACCCUACCAGCCACAGUUUAUCUGACACUCCGUUCGACUACAGAACUACUCCCUCGAAAUAUAAGACAGAGAACUACGCUGGAAAUUAGGAGACCUGAGCUGUAUCCCAGCUUCUGGCUCACUUCUGACACAAACCAUUCAACUUCCUUGAGCCCUGGAUUCCCGGAUUGUGAAACUAAGGAGCUGGGUGAUGUGAUUAUCUGCUGCUGUCUAUGGUCAGCUGAAAUUAGUGAGAGGUGGCUGCAUCUCUGCUUUACAUGUCUUCUCAUUCUGGUACCUAGGAUGAAAGAAUUGCCCUUACAUGAAGUGCUACAUUCUCCAGGCAAAGAUGUGAAUAUUUUGGACAUUUCAUGUAAAUGGAAUCAUACAAUAUAUAGGCUUGAGUUUGGACGGAAGUUGGUGUGGCUAUAAAAGGGCACAUGAGGAAUCCUUGUUGUGACGAAAACUGAAGUUUUAAUUUGUAGGAUCUUGGAUUGACUUAAUUUCAAAGACUCAGCCUUCAUAGAUAUGCAAUACAAAGUUUAUGCCCAAAGUAAAAGACUGAAGAGAAUAAGUAAGUGUGGGAAAAGGCAUUCCCAGUUGACCUCCCGCUAUGUCAAUGGCAAGUUGAAGACUGUACCUCGGGGCUGGGGGAAACCAGAGUUGAAGAGAAAGCUGAAGACAGUUGAAGAGUGAGCUGCUGGAGCAGGUUAACACCUUGUAAAACAGACCUGAAUAAGAGUAUAUUCAACGUUCAAGAAGAUUCUUUGGGGGCUGGCCCCACGGCCGAGUGGUUGGAGUUCCACACGCUCAGCAGCGCCGGUUAGUGGGUUUGGAUCCUGGGUGCAGACCUGCUCCACUCAUCAGUCAAGCCCUGGAGGAGUAAACAGAGCCCUGUGUUUUGACAAGUUCACCUCUGCCACGUAUUAUAAAAGAAGAAGAGAAAAAGGCAUGGGACUGAUCCCCAUCUCAGUGUGCAAUUCUGCCAAAAGGAAAACAGAUUUGGUGCCACAGAGCAGUUACUGUGUGUCCAGCUUCUAUUGGAAGGAUUACAGGCACUGGCACCUGGGCUGUGAUGCCUGGCAUGGCUGGGGGCUCACCAGUCAACUCCCUUCCCACUCAGCCUCUCCACGUAGCUAGACUGAAUAUCCUCACAGCAAGAUGGUCUUAGGGAGAAUAAAAAACAGAACUUACCUGUGGAAGGUAGAAUAUGGCCUGCCAACGAUGUCCAUGUCCUAAUCCCCAGAACCAUAAGGGAUGUAUUAGGUUUAAUGGUAAAGAGGAGUUAAGAUUGAAGACAUUAAUUUUGCUAAUCAGCUAACUGUGAGAUGAGGAGUUUAUCCUGAAUUAUCCAGGUGGACCCAAUGUAACCACAAGGGUUCUUAUAAGUAGAAGAGGAAAGACAGAGAGAACUGGAGAUAUGGCCGUGUGAAAAGGACUCAGCCUGACCUUCCUGGCGUUGAAGAAGGAGAAAUGGUGCCACACGCUGAGGACUGAAGACCAGAAAGAAUCUAGAAGAGGGAAGGAACCAGAUUAUCCCCUGAAGCCUCUAGAAGGAACAUAGCCUUGCCAACACCUUGAGUUUAGCCCAGUGAGACCCAUUUUGGACUUCUGACCUCCAGAACUGUAAAAGAAGAAACUUGUGUUGUUUUAAACCACAGUAAACAUUAUGGUGAUUUGUUACAGCAAGCAUAGGAAAUUAAUACACUGCCUCAUGGGAUCGUUAUGAGGAUUAAAUGAGAUGAUACGUGUAAUCAUGAUUAAAAUAUAUUCUAGGACAUGGUAACUGCUCAAUAAAUGUAAUUAUUUGCUAUCAAAAAUUAUAAUUAUUGGGGCUGGCCCCGUGGCCGAGUGGUUAAGUUCGCGCACUCCGCUGCAGGCGGCCCAGUGUUUCGUUAGUUCGAAUCCUGGGCGCGGACAUGGCACUGCUCAUCAGACCACGCUGAGGCAGCGUCCCACAUGCC